GAGUCAUUGUUUGCAUCUUAAAAUCUCUAAAAGAAAAUAUAAUUUUAAAGUACAAAAGUCUUACUUGAAUCUCUACUCUCGCAGUUAAACAAUGUCAGCCUCAAACCCUCUAGCCCGCAUCUUUGAAUCAAAUCAUUUGAUCGGAACAAACUAUAAAGACUGGCUAAGAAACCUCAGGAUUAUCCUGACUUCUGAAAAAUUAAAUUAUGUACUCGAUUAGGAACUCCUAGUGUUACCAAAUUAUCCUACUGC
rnacentral:lncRNA from 1 species